rnacentral:rRNA from 1 species
GUGGGGAAUUUUGGACAAUGGGCGCAAGCCUGAUCCAGCAAUGCCGCGUGCAGGAAGAAGGCCUUCGGGUUGUAAACUGCUUUUGUACGGAACGAAAAGGCUCUGGUUAAUACCUGGGGCUCAUGACGGUACCGUAAGAAUAAGCACCGGCUAACUACGUGCCAGCAGCCGCGGUAAUACGUAGGGUGCAAGCGUUAAUCGGAAUUACUGGGCGUAAAGCGUGCGCAGGCGGUUUUGUAAGACAGACGUGAAAUCCCCGGGCUCAACCUGGGAAUGGCGUUUGUGACUGCAAAGCUGGAGUGCGGCAGAGGGGGAUGGAAUUCCGCGUGUAGCAGUGAAAUGCGUAGAUAUGCGGAGGAACACCGAUGGCGAAGGCAAUCCCCUGAGCCUGCACUGACGCUCAUGCACGAAAGCGUGGGGAGCAAACAGGAUUAGAAACCCUUGUAGUCC